AGAGUUUGAUCAUGGCUCAGGGUAAACGCUGGCGGCGUGCCUAAAACAUGCAAGUCGCACGGACCCCUAUCAAGGGGUCAGUGGCAGACGGCUGAGUAACGCGUGGGUGACGUACCUAUCGGUGGGGAAUAACUGCCCGAAAGGGUGGCUAAUACCGCAUACGCCUGUUGCUUCGUGGCAAUAGGGAAAGCCGCAAGGCGUCGAUGGAGCGGCCCGCGUCCGAUUAGCCAGUUGGUGGGGUAACGGCCUACCAAAGCGACGAUCGGUAGCUGGUCUCAGAGGAUGAUCAGCCAGACUGGGACUGAGACACGGCCCAGACUCCUACGGGAGGCAGCAGUUAGGAAUUUUGGGCAAUGGGCGCAAGCCUGACCCAGCAACGCCGCGUGGGUGACGAAGGCCUUCGGGUUGUAAAGCCCUUUUCUCAGGGAAGAUGAUGACGGUACCUGAGGAAGAAGCACCGGCUAACUACGUGCCAGCAGCCGCGGUAAUACGUAGGGUGCAAGCGUUGCCCGGAUUUAUUGGGCGUAAAGGGCGCGUAGGCGGCUCGGCACGUCCGUUGUGAAAUCGCCCGGCUCAACUGGGCGGGGUCAGCGGAUACGGCCGAGCUUGAGCAAGCUAGGGGGCAAUGGAAUUCCCGGUGUAGUGGUGGAAUGCGUAGAUAUCGGGAGGAACACCAGUGGCGAAGGCGGUUGCCUGGGGCUUUGCUGACGCUGAUGCGCGAAAGCGUGGGGAGCGAUCCGGAUUAGAUACCCUAGUAGUCC
rnacentral:rRNA from 1 species